GCCAUGUUUGUCUAUUUGCAGUUUGUCAACCCGGAGCAGUCCGGCUAUGUGGGCUUCGCCAACUUGCCCAACCAAGUGCACAGGAAGUCGGUCAAAAAGGGAUUUGAGUUUACCUUGAUGGUCGUAGGUGAGUCAGGUCUGGGCAAGUCUACACUAGUCAACAGUUUGUUUCUCACAGACUUGUAUCCAGAGAGACACAUUCCAUCAGCUUCAG
rnacentral:sRNA from 1 species